ensembl:processed_transcript
CACAACACUGAGAUGAAGGCGAAGUCACCAUGAAAAGUUAAACGUUUACCGUUAAGCUACAGUAAUUGAUGUUGAAAAAACUGAUGCAACCAAUCACUCCUCACUUGAUUAUUCAAGUUCCUAAGAUAAAAAAAUCUGGUGUUAAAACAGCCACAGCUAUGCUAUUUGCCUACACAGUGCUGAGUAAAUAUUAGACAAACGUUUUUUUCUAUAACUGUUGUCUUUGUGUUUAUUAGCAAUUUUACUGGGCAUAUGUGUUUGUUUUUUUUUUCAAACAGCCUGGAAACUGUAAGUUUAGUUCAAUAUGUUAUUUUAUGCUAUUAAUUUUUGUGUUAACAUGGAUUGCAUGUUGAAGCUAUCGUUUUAUAGUGGGAAAAUGUAAAAGAGAAUCACUGAAUACAAUGGCAUAAUGAUUCUGCUUGUUCAAAUAAGGUACUUGAUUUAGUUUUCCUCAAGCGACACAUCAGUUUUUAUGACUAUUGCUUGACACUUGAAUUGAAGGGACAGUUCACCCCAAAAUGAAAAUAAUAGCAUCUUUGGCAUCCUCCACUUGUUUCAAAAUAGUUAUACAUUUAAUUUGUUCCGUUGAACACAAACUCGUAUUUUUUAAAGAAAUUUGGUUCAAAUAUGGAUGUCAAUAGUUACUGGUUACUAACACUCUUCAAAAUAUCUGCUUUAGUGUUUAACAGAAAUUUAAAUGGAUUUAAAACACAUGGAGUAAUGGUGGCAA